AGCGAACGCUGGCGGCAGGCUUAACACAUGCAAGUCGAGCGGGCGUAGCAAUACGUCAGCGGCAGACGGGUGAGUAACGCGUGGGAACGUACCUUUUGGUUCGGAACAACACAGGGAAACUUGUGCUAAUACCGGAUAAGCCCUUAUGGGGAAAGAUUUAUCGCCGAAAGAUCGGCCCGCGUCUGAUUAGCUAGUUGGUGAGGUAAUGGCUCACCAAGGCGACGAUCAGUAGCUGGUCUGAGAGGAUGAUCAGCCACAUUGGGACUGAGACACGGCCCAAACUCCUACGGGAGGCAGCAGUGGGGAAUAUUGGACAAUGGGCGCAAGCCUGAUCCAGCCAUGCCGCGUGAGUGAUGAAGGCCCUAGGGUUGUAAAGCUCUUUUGUGCGGGAAGAUAAUGACGGUACCGCAAGAAUAAGCCCCGGCUAACUUCGUGCCAGCCGCCGCGGUAAAAC
rnacentral:rRNA from 1 species